AUUGAACGCUGGCGGCAGGCUUAACACAUGCAAGUCGAGCGGGGGAGAUUGCUUCGGUAAUUGACCUAACGGCGGACGGGUGAGUAAUACUUAGGAAUCUGCCUAUUAAUGGGGGACAACAUCUCGAAAGGGAUGCUAAUACCGCAUACGCCCUACGGGGGAAAGCAGGGGAUCACUUGUGACCUUGCGUUAAUAGAUGAGCCUAAGUCGGAUUAGCUAGUUGGUGGGGUAAAGGCCUACCAAGGCGACGAUCUGUAGCGGGUCUGAGAGGAUGAUCCGCCACACUGGGACUGAGACACGGCCCAGACUCCUACGGGAGGCAGCAGUGGGGAAUAUUGGACAAUGGGGGGAACCCUGAUCCAGCCAUGCCGCGUGUGUGAAGAAGGCCUUAUGGUUGUAAAGCACUUUAAGCGAGGAGGAGGCUCUCUUGGUUAAUACCCAAGAUGAGUGGACGUUACUCGCAGAAUAAGCACCGGCUAACUCUGUGCCAGCCGCCGCCGUAACAC
rnacentral:rRNA from 1 species